UUCCAUCUUCGGGGCAGGGUGCAAUUCCCGACCGACGGUGAUGAACCCACUUGGUGUUCUAAGUCCGUGACCCGUUUAGCCAAUAGGUUAAACGGUUGACCUAGUGUGAAUCUAGGACCGACAGUUAAAGUCUGGAUGGGAGAAGAUGUUG
rnacentral:ncRNA from 2 species